UCCCUGGUGGCACAGCCGGUAAAAGUGUCUGCUUGCAAUGCAGGAGACCCGGGUUUGAUCCCUGGGUUGGGAA
rfam:Ovis aries breed Texel chromosome 5, whole genome shotgun sequence.